GGUGAGUAACACGUGAGUAACCUGCCCCUGACUCUGGAAUAACCGUGGGAAACGACGGCUAAUACCGGAUAUGAGACGUCCACGCAUGUGAGCGUCUGGAAAGAUUUAUCGGUCUGGGAUGGACUCGCGGCCUAUCAGCUUGUUGGUGGGGUAAUGGCCCACCAAGGCGACGACGGGUAGCCGGCCUGAGAGGGCGACCGGCCACACUGGGACUGAGAUACGGCCCAGACUCCUACGGGAGGCAGCAGUGGGGAAUAUUGCACAAUGGGCGCAAGCUGAUGCAGCGACGCCGCGUGGGGGAUGAAGGCCUUCGGGUUGUAAACCCUUUCAGCAGGGAAGAAGCGAAAGUGACGGUACCUGCAGAAGAAGCGCCGGCUAACUACGUGCCAGCAGCCGCGGUAAUACGUAGGGCGCAAGCGUUGUCCGGAAUUAUUGGGCGUAAAGAGCUCGUAGGCGGUUUGUCGCGUCUGCUGUGAAAACCCGAGGCUCAACCUCGGGCUUGCAGUGGGUACGGGCAGACUAGAGUGCGGUAGGGGUGACUGGAAUUCCUGGUGUAGCGGUGGAAUGCGCAGAUAUCAGGAGGAACACCGAUGGCGAAGGCAGGUCACUGGGCCGCAACUGACGCUGAGGAGCGAAAGCAUGGGGAGCGAACAGGAUUAGAUACCCUGGUAGUCCAUGCCGUAAACGUUGGGCACUAGGUGUGGGGCUCAUUCCACGAGUUCCGUGCCGCAGCAAACGCAUUAAGUGCCCCGCCUGGGGAGUACGGCCGCAAGGCUAAAACUCAAAGGAAUUGACGGGGGCCCGCACAAGCGGCGGAGCAUGCGGAUUAAUUCGAUGCAACGCGAAGAACCUUACCAAGGCUUGACAUACACCGGAAAAGUGCAGAGAUGUGCUCCCCGCAAGGUCGGUGUACAGGUGGUGCAUGGUUGUCGUCAGCUCGUGUCGUGAGAUGUUGGGUUAAGUCCCGCAACGAGCGCAACCCUCGUCCUAUGUUGCCAGCACGUUAUGGUGGGGACUCAUAGGAGACUGCCGGGGUCAACUCGGAGGAAGGUGGGGAUGACGUCAAAUCAUCAUGCCCCUUAUGUCUUGGGCUUCACGCAUGCUACAAUGGCCGGUACAAAGGGCUGCGAUACCGCAAGGUGGAGCGAAUCCCAAAAAGCCGGUCUCAGUUCGGAUUGGGGUCUGCAACUCGACCCCAUGAAGUCGGAGUCGCUAGUAAUCGCAGAUCAGCAACGCUGCGGUGAAUACGUUCCCGGGCCUUGUACACACCGC
rnacentral:rRNA from 1 species